UACACACACGCUACAAUGGCCAGUACAACAGGUUGCUAAGCGCGAGGUGGAGGCCAAUCCUUAAAGCUAGGUCUCAGUUCAGAUUGCAGGCUGCAACCCGCCUGCAUGAAGAUGGAGUUGCUAGUAACCGCAGGUCAGCAAUACUGCGGUGAAUACGUUCCCGGGUCUU
rnacentral:rRNA from 1 species